CUGAGUGUCUAGCGUGUAUCUCAAACCAAGUGUCUUGUUCAAAAGCAUUCAUAAUUUUCCCAUCUUUAUUUCGUCUGCGGAAGAACGUAGGUACUUCUUCGAUCUCCCCAAGGGAUUCCUGCGCGUUCAAACGUUGCAGCUUCUCUUUGAACCAUUUAGGAGCGUUCCUCGUACGAUACGAUGAUUGCGCGUCAGGUGAUCCUCUCACAACAGCGGCAACGUUUAACAUGUAAAGUAGAACACAAAACCAUAUACCAACAGUCGAGGUCAUUGUGGACGAUUAUUUCCAAAACGAUAUACAAGCUGAAUAUAUUGCGUGUUUAUCAGAACGAUGUGCAGCUGUUGUUGUUGUGAAUAUAUUGCGUAUUUGCUGUAUGCGCGACAUGCCCAGACGCGUACUAAGCAAGAUUUAUUUUGUUUAAUUAACUAUCAAUAGGUUGGCAAAUAUUCCGGUGUGUGCUAUAUUAAAACUUGAAAUUUAGCCAGAAUAAAACUGGUUUUUUGAGUUGAACUAGGG